UUUCUUUUUCAUUGAGGUUAGGUUCCCUCAAUUCUUUGCCAGAAAUUUACUUCUCCUUACUUCCUCACCAAGAACAGAGAUAAAUCCUUUGAAUCUAAGGUCAAGCUAUCACUGGUGGCAAAGCGGUGAUUGAAGUUUACUUCUUUGGGUUUCAUAUCCAUCAAGAAACUCAUGACCUUUGUGAGGAAACAUCUUGCCCUAUUACAGUUGGCAACUUUGUGCUCUCUCACAAUAAAUUUUUACCUGGUUUUACUCCACCUGGUUCCUACAAGCUUAAGAUGACAUUAUCAGGUGCGGGAAUUAAACAGUUAACUUGCAUUUCCUUCGAUUUCAAAAUCAGUUUUGGUGCUUCUGAAUCUUCAGUCUCUGAUAGCUGAUCAACCGACUAAGUAUAUAUAUGAAAUGUGGAAUGUAGUAGGAUGUUAUAUCUUAUUUAUUGCGAACAGAUCUCACAUUCUACAAUAUUUUGUACUUGUAUUCCGUAUUAUCGUUCUUGUGAAGAUGUCAUUUACAUGGAAGUCACUCCAAUCUGCUGAAUCAUGUUAACAAUGUUAAUUUCCCUUAAUAUCAAAUCAUUUUACAUGCUUGUA